AGGUGUCAAAUCCACAACUUCCUCUCCCUCUGUAUUGGAAUCCUCUCCCCGAAUGAAAACUGUCUCCACUGCUUCCUCAAACUCAACCUCAGGCCCAUCAGAGAUUGCCAUCAGACUCCCCAUCUUCUUCAUAGUGCUGAUUCUGCCUGGGCUCAUUGCAACUGUUCAUUUAGUGAGAAGGAGGAAGCAGACGUGUAGAGAGGAUCCCCCAGCCAUUGAACUUCAAGAACUGAAUUAACAUGGAGAACCCAGAAUGGUCUACAUGACUUUAUGUGAAGACACUGGCUUUAUUUUGAACUUAAUUGAGGAAAAGGUGUCACCUGUUAAUUGGUGUUAAAGUGUAAUUCUAGUUUUGUUUGUGUAAUAGUUUGUGUGGCUGUAUCGACAUCACA